rnacentral:rRNA from 1 species
UGAGCAAUCUGCCCUUCUCUUUGGAAUAAGCGUUGGAAACGACGUCUAAUGCCGAAUACGACCUCCUUUCGCAUGAUCGGAGGUGGAAAGCUCCGGCGGAGAAGGAUGAGCUCGCGGCCUAUCAGCUAGGUUGGGUGGGGUAAUGGCCCACCAAGGCGACGACGGGUAGCCGGCCUGAGAGGGUGACCGGCCACACUGGGACUGAGACACGGCCCAGACCUCCGUACGGGAGGCAGCGAGGG